rnacentral:rRNA from 1 species
AACGAACGCUGGCGGCGUGCUUAACACAUGCAAGUCGAGUGCGCGCCUGUAGCAAUACAGGUGGCGCACGGCGCACGGGUGCGUAACACGUGGGCAAUCUGCCCUCUGAUGGGGAAUAACCCGCCGAAAGGCGGGCUAAUACCGCAUAAGAUUCCUUGGACUCAUGUUCGAGGACUCAAAGGCGUAAGUCGUCGGAGGAGGAGCCCGCGCACGAUUAGCUAGUUGGUAGGGUAAUGGCCUACCAAGGCUUUGAUCGUUAGCUGGUCUGAGAGGAUGGCCAGCCACACUGGAACUGAGACACGGUCCAGACUCCUACGGGAGGCAGCAGUGGGGAAUCUUGCACAAUGGGCGAAAGCCUGAUGCAGCGACGCCGCGUGGGGGAUGAAGCAUUUCGGUGUGUAAACCCCUUUCGAUCCGGACGAAUACCUCGCAAGAGGGGUGACGGUACGGAUAUAAGAAGCCCCGGCUAACUACGUGCCAGCAGCCGCGGUAAGACGUAGGGGGCCAGCGUUGUUCGGAAUUACUGGGUGUAAAGGGUUCGUAGGCGGUGUGGCAAGUUGGGAGUGAAAUCUCUGGGCUCAACCCAGAGGCUGCUUCCAAAACUGCUGUGCUUGAGUGUGAGAGAGGCGCGUGGAAUUGCAGGUGUAGCGGUGAAAUGCGUAGAUAUCUGCAGGAACACCCGUGGCGAAAGCGGCGCGCUGGAUCACUACUGACGCUGAGGAACGAAAGCUAGGGGAGCAAACAGGAUUAGAUACCCUGGUAGUCCUAGCCCUAAACGAUCAGGACUUGGGGGUGCCACCCGUUCGGGUGUCGUCCCGGAGCUAACGCGUUAAGUCCUGCACCUGGGGGAGUACGGUCGCAAGACUGAAACUCAAAGGAGUUGACGGGGGCCCCCACAACCGGUGGA